rnacentral:rRNA from 1 species
GUGUCAGCAGCCGCGGUAAGACGGAGGGGGCAAGCGUUGUCCGGAAUUACUGGGCGUAAAGCGCUCGUAGGCGGUCGCAUACGGCGGUGGUGAAAGCUCUCGGCUCAACUGAGAGAGGCCCGCCGCAACGGUGUGACUCGAGGGUGGUAGAGGCAGAUGGAAUUCCUGGUGUAGCGGUGAAAUGCGUAGAGAUCAGGAGGAACACCCGUGGCGAAGGCGGUCUGCUGGGCCACACCUGACGCUGAGGAGCGAAAGCUAGGGGAGCGAACGGGAUUAGAAACCCCUGUAGUCC